UUAAACAAACUUCUCCUUUUGAUUUACCAGUUAAGAUCGUAGCUUCAAUCAAAUUUGGCAAUAAAUUUUUCACUGCCAAUCUGGUGCCAUUACACAGUUUUGGUGGAUUAAUAUUUCGCAAUAAUAUAAUCAAAGAACCCACUUUCAGAUUCAAGCAAUGCGGUGGCAUACCAGCCGGUUCUAAAGAAUUCAAAAAUUCAUUUGGAUAAUUCAUUGCCUCAUCUUGAUUCAUAGCACUGUCAAUUGAUUUAUAUGUCGUGACUACGCCUGGGAGUUUUGCUUGAAUUUGAAAAUUAAUGCAUUGAUAUGAAUGUUCUUCGGUGCUAAAAUGGCGCGUUCUGUCAACCAAUCAUGGUUUCUGUAAUUCUGAAGAAUAUUUGGAAAAACACAUUCAAUCAAUUCAUCUAUCGAUUUCGUAAUUGUACAAAAAUUGUUCGGUACAGUGAUCAAUCCGUUGGUUCUGUCGAUUUGUAUUUUGCCAUCACCAAUUUGUAACAAUUGUUCUGAAAACUCAUGGGCAGCUGGAUCAUUUUGUAGGAGUUGACCGAGGAAUGACAGGCAAUGUUUGUCGAAAAUCCCCUGGCUGUAAUAUCAAAGCAUCACCAAAAAGCUGUUGGUUACCACGUAAAUCUUGCAUUGUUCGAUUAAAUGCUUCUAGUAAUUUUUUAUUCGCCAUUGUACACUCAUCCCAUAAAAUAAUUGACGUUAAUCGCAGAACUUUUGCCAUAGCAGAAUUUCUUGAAAUAUUGCAAGUUGGAGUUUCAAUCACCUGUAUAUUCAAUGGCAAUUUUAAUGCAGAGUAUGCUGUCCGACCACCUUCUAAUAAUGUAGCAGCAAUUCCCGAAGAUGCAAGUGCCAAUGCAAUUUUCAGUUCCGAUCGAAUAGUGGCUAAAAUCAGUGAUAUAACGAACGUUUUGCCUGUACCACCAGGUGCAUCCAAGAAAUAUAACCCACCUGCAUUAUUGGAAAUGGCUUGCAUGAUUGUGUCAUAGACAUGUUUUUGCUGAAUAUUCAUUUUGGUUAUAUUCGAUUGUACAAAUAAACGCAAAUCAUUAGAAUUGAA